CUUCGCCUUCGUUGUUCAUUCUUCCCCUCUUCUCCUCCAUCGUCCCUAUUCCACUCUUGGUCGAGCUCGCCGUUUGGUAGAAGUAGGAGAUUCAUUUUUCUCCGUCGACGAACAAUCACUGCUUCAGCUUUCGUCAUGGCUUGGUCGCCCAUUCCAUCGCGGCUUGGUCCUAUUUCAGGGGAAGAGACAUUGAUGAAGGGGUUGUUCUCCUUCUAGAAGUGAAUAUUUAGUAGGAGUUUCAUCAAUCCGGGUGUUGGUGAGGACGAUAUUAAGAAAUUAUCAAUAAGAACUCAAAGAGCAUUCUCAUUCGUUCACUGGAGAUAGUUGCAGAUGAAGACGGUGCUAAUGUGAGUUCUUUCUCCUCAAAACCUGAUUUGCAUUGAGGGAAUUCAUAUCAAUUUUGAUUUUCUUGGUUGCGCUUCUGAUGAUUAUCGGAUAAUGUGUCUGGCUUGCUUUUCCUUUUCAAUGACAGUUCCUUUGAAGAAGAUUCUUGUGCUGUUAACAAAUUUCACUUAUCCUUGUUUGAUUUGAGCUCAAAGUAUGUAUAACGAUCUAAUUCUCAAAGUGGAAAAGAAUUGUUCCAGGCAAAUAUAUUUAUUUUGUGACAAGGUUUCUCAGACGUUUCAGCUCCGAAAUCCAAUUUUGGACUUACAGAAUACUUGUGGCAAUUCCAUAUUAAAACAAGUUGGCUCCUUGUCAAAUACUGAAGAGAUUCUGGCAAGCCAAUUGGCCUUAGUAAUGCGGACUUCUUAUGAUACUUCUGUACUUCGCCAAGGUAGACAAAUUCAUACGCAGAUGAUUAUCAGUGGAAUAAUGAGUUGUAGUCUUCAUGCGAAAAUGCUGGGAAUGUACGCUCUUAGUGGUAGCAUCAAGGAUGCUAGAAACAUGUUUUAUGGACUUGAAUUGUGCUAUACUCUUCCCUGGAAUUGGAUGAUAAGAGGGCUUACAAUGAUGGGAUGGUUCGAUUUUGCCUUGUUGUUUUACUUCAAGAUGUUGGGCAGCAAAAUUUCUCCUGAUAAAUAUACAUUUCCUUAUGUAAUUAAAGCUUGUGGUGGCUUAAACAAUGUUCGAUUGGGCAAGAUGAUUCAUAAUACUAUUCAGUCGAUGGGCUAUCAUAUGGAUUUGUUUGUUGGGAGUUCGUUAAUCAAGUUGUAUGCAGAAAAUGGUUAUAUUCACGAUGCAAAAUGCUUAUUUGAUAAGAUCCCUGAGAAAGAUGGCAUUUUGUGGAAUGUCAUGCUACAUGGAUAUGCAAAAAAUGGAGAUUCUCAUAAUGCUAUGGGAACUUUCAGGGAAAUGAGGAGAUGUGGUAAUAAACCCAAUGCAGUCACAUAUAGUUGUAUUUUGUCUUUAUGUGCCUCAAAAGGGAUGCAUUACUUUGGUAGUCAGCUUCAUAGUCUAGUUAUUGCCAGUGGUCUUGAGUUUGAUUCCCAGGUAGCCAACACAUUACUUGCUAUGUAUUCUAAAUGUGGAAGCCUUUCUGAUGCACAUAAGUUGUUCAAUGUGAUGCCACAGACUGAUACAGUGAGUUGGAAUGGGUUAAUUGCUGGAUAUGUACAAAAUGGAUUUACUGAUAAGGCUUUACUAUUGUUUAAUAAAAUGAUCUCUUCUGGUGUCAAACCAGAUGCAAUCACUUUUUCAAGUUUCCUUCCUUCUGUCAUUGAAUCUGGGAGUCUCAAACACGGUAAGGAAAUCCACUGUUAUAUAUUACGACAAGGUAUGCUUUUUGAUGUUUACUUGAAGUGUGCUCUUAUUGAUAUAUACUUCAAGGGUGGAGAUGUCAAUGCAGCACAAAAGAUUUUCCAACAGAGCACUGAUGUUGAUGUUGUCAUUUAUACUGCUAUGAUAUCGGGAUAUGCAAUUAAUGGGCUGAAUAUGGAUGCUAUCAACAUGUUCAGGUGCUUAAUUCAAGAGAAAAUGAUGCCUAAUUGCCUGACAAUGGCUAGUGUUUUGCCAUCUUGUGCUGCUUUGGCUGCUUUGAAAUUAGGGAAGGAAUUGCAUGGCAACAUACUUAAGGAAGGACUAGAUAAUAUGUAUCAUGUGGGAUCUGCUAUCACAGACAUGUAUGCAAAAUGUGGAAGACUGGAUCUUGCUUAUCAUUUUUUCAGAAGAAUGUCUGAGAGAGAUAGUGUGUGCUGGAACUCAAUGAUUGCCAGCUUCACACAGAAUGGGAAACCAGAAAUGGCCAUUGAACUUUUCCGUCAAAUGGGAAUCAAUGGAAUUAAGUAUGAUUCUGUAAGCCUAUCAACUGCUCUUUCUUCUUGUGCAAAUUUACCUUCACUCUAUUAUGGGAAGGAAAUACAUGGCUUCAUAAUUAGAACUGCAUUCAAUGCUGACAUUUUUGUUGAGAGUGCUCUAAUCGACAUGUAUUCGAAAUGUGGAAAAUUAGCUGUGGCACAGUGUGUGUUUGACUCUAUGGAUCAAAAGAAUGAAGUUUCAUGGAAUAGCAUCAUCACUGCAUAUGGGAACCAUGGUUAUCCUCAAGAAUGCCUCGAUCUAUUCCAUGAGAUGUUAAAAAUUGGAAUUCGUCCAGACCAUGUUACUUUUCUUAUAAUAAUAUCUGCUUGUGGCCAUGCAGGCCUAGUUGAUGAAGGCAGGCACUACUUCCACCUCAUGAAUGAGGAAUUUGGGAUUUCUGCUAGAAUGGAGCAUUAUUCAUGCAUGGUAGAUUUAUAUGGUCGUGCAGGUCGUUUGCAUGAGGCCUUUGAUACUAUAAUGAACAUGCCAUUUGCUCCAGAUGCAGGUGUUUGGGGAACACUUCUUGGAGCUUGUCGGGUAUAUGGCAAUGUUGAACUUGCCAAGCUUGCUUCAAGAUACAUUCUUGAUUUAGACCCAGAUAAUUCAGGAUAUUAUGUCUUACUCUCAAAUAUACAUGCUGGUGCUGGAGAAUGGACAAAUGUUUUGAAGAUAAGGAGUUUAAUGAAAGAAAAAGGAGUUGAAAAGAUCCCUGGAUACAGUUGGAUUGAUGUCAAUAGCACCACUCAUAUGUUCUCUGCCGCAGAUGGAAGUCACCCACAAUCUGUUGAGAUUUAUUUGAUUCUGAAGUGUCUUCUUCAUGAGCUGAGAAAAGAGGGCUAUGUUCCUCAACCAUACCUUCCAAUGCACCCACAACUCAUGGCCAAAAAUCGAGAAGAUAUGAAAUGAUUGCUUUCAGGUUGUCAGAAUCAGUGAGAGCAAAUAUGUCAUCUUGUGGCUCAUGAAUUUCUGCAAUGACUUCUACCGGACCUUAUGGAUGGGGACUUGUUCAUUCCUCACGUGCAUUUUAGUUUUGAAACCAUUGGGAAUUUAUCUCUCUGGAGUGGCCCCACACAUGUUUCUGCAGAAAGCAUAUGGAAUUCGUGGUUUCUGCAGCUGAGGAAAGAGUUUGUCAUUGAAGUUGAG